UACGAAGGGGGCUAGCGUUGUUCGGAAUUACUGGGCGUAAAGCGCGCGCAGGCGGCUAUCCAAGUCAGUGGUGAAAGCCCGGAGCUCAACUCCGGAACUGCCAUUGAAACUGUUUAGCUUGAGGAUGAGAGAGGUGAGUGGAAUUCCCAGUGUAGAGGUGAAAUUCGUAGAUAUUCGGAAGAACACCAGUGGCGAAGGCGACUUACUGGACACAUAUUGACGCUGAGGUGCGAAAGCGUGGGUAGCAAACGAGG
rnacentral:rRNA from 1 species